rfam:Cajanus cajan CcLG10_78, whole genome shotgun sequence.
GAUUUUUAAUCAUAUUGCAACCUAUAGAACGAAUAACAUUUAUUUUAGGAAUAAUAGGUUGAUUUUCUUCAAGAGUUCACAUCAACAGGAAGGUUUGGCAUCUCAAUUUCCAUGCUUCGACACCUAUAGUAUGUUCCAAGGGUUGGGUUGUUCACCCAUUAAAGCAGUAAGUGAGCUAGAUUCAAAACUUCAGGAGACAAUUUGGUCCAUAUCUAGUGUGGGUGUUAGAGCAUAGAGAGGACUUUUUCCUAGUACAAGAGGAUAGGGAAGGACACAACUCUGGUGUGUCAAUUAUCGUAUCCACAAGAUACAACUCUGGUGUGCCAGUUAUCAUUUCCACGAUAAACACUAGAUAGUCAAGUGUCGGAAUAACUGAUGAAAGCAUCUAAGUAGUAAACUCACCUCAAGAUGAGUGCUCUCCAUUUAUGACUUCCCCCUA